GGUUAAGCGACUAAGCGUACACGGUGGAUGCCCUGGCAGUCAGAGGCGAUGAAGGACGUGCUAAUCUGCGAUAAGCGUCGGUAAGGUGAUAUGAACCGUUAUAACCGGCGAUUUCCGAAUGGGGAAACCCAGUGUGAUUCGUCACACUAUCAUUAACUGAAUCCAUAGGUUAAUGAGGCGAACCGGGGGAACUGAAACAUCUAAGUACCCCGAGGAAAAGAAAUCAACCGAGAUUCCCCCAGUAGCGGCGAGCGAACGGGGAGCAGCCCAGAGCCUGAAUCAGUGUGUGUGUUAGUGGAAGCGUCUGGAAAGGCGUGCGAUACAGGGUGACAGCCCCGUACACAAAAAUGCACAUACUGUGAGCUCGAUGAGUAGGGCGGGACACGUGGUAUCCUGUCUGAAUAUGGGGGGACCAUCCUCCAAGGCUAAAUACUCCUGACUGACCGAUAGUGAACCAGUACCGUGAGGGAAAGGCGAAAAGAACCCCGGCGAGGGGAGUGAAAAAGAACCUGAAACCGUGUACGUACAAGCAGUGGGAGCACAGAGCAAUCUGUGUGACUGCGUACCUUUUGUAUAAUGGGUCAGCGACUUAUAUUCUGUAGCAAGGUUAACCGAAUAGGGGAGCCGAAGGGAAACCGAGUCUUAACUGGGCGUUAAGUUGCAGGGUAUAGACCCGAAACCCGGUGAUCUAGCCAUGGGCAGGUUGAAGGUUGGGUAACACUAACUGGAGGACCGAACCGACUAAUGUUGAAAAAUUAGCGGAUGACUUGUGGCUGGGGGUGAAAGGCCAAUCAAACCGGGAGAUAGCUGGUUCUCCCCGAAAGCUAUUUAGGUAGCGCCUCGUGAAUUCAUCUCCGGGGGUAGAGCACUGUUUCGGCAAGGGGGUCAUCCCGACUUACCAACCCGAUGCAAACUGCGAAUACCGGAGAAUGUUAUCACGGGAGACACACGGCGGGUGCUAACGUCCGUCGUGAAGAGGGAAACAACCCAGACCGCCAGCUAAGGUCCCAAAGUCAUGGUUAAGUGGGAAACGAUGUGGGAAGGCCCAGACAGCCAGGAUGUUGGCUUAGAAGCAGCCAUCAUUUAAAGAAAGCGUAAUAGCUCACUGGUCGAGUCGGCCUGCGCGGAAGAUGUAACGGGGCUAAACCAUGCACCGAAGCUGCGGCAGCGACACUAUGUGUUGUUGGGUAGGGGAGCGUUCUGUAAGCCUGUGAAGGUGUACUGUGAGGUAUGCUGGAGGUAUCAGAAGUGCGAAUGCUGACAUAAGUAACGAUAAAGCGGGUGAAAAGCCCGCUCGCCGGAAGACCAAGGGUUCCUGUCCAACGUUAAUCGGGGCAGGGUGAGUCGACCCCUAAGGCGAGGCCGAAAGGCGUAGUCGAUGGGAAACAGGUUAAUAUUCCUGUACUUGGUGUUACUGCGAAGGGGGGACGGAGAAGGCUAUGUUGGCCGGGCGACGGUUGUCCCGGUUUAAGCGUGUAGGCUGGUUUUCCAGGCAAAUCCGGAAAACUAAGGCUGAGGCGUGAUGACGAGGCACUACGGUGCUGAAGCAACAAAUGCCCUGCUUCCAGGAAAAGCCUCUAAGCAUCAGGUAACAUCAAAUCGUACCCCAAACCGACACAGGUGGUCAGGUAGAGAAUACCAAGGCGCUUGAGAGAACUCGGGUGAAGGAACUAGGCAAAAUGGUGCCGUAACUUCGGGAGAAGGCACGCUGAUAUGUAGGUGAAGUCCCUCGCGGAUGGAGCUGAAAUCAGUCGAAGAUACCAGCUGGCUGCAACUGUUUAUUAAAAACACAGCACUGUGCAAACACGAAAGUGGACGUAUACGGUGUGACGCCUGCCCGGUGCCGGAAGGUUAAUUGAUGGGGUUAGCGCAAGCGAAGCUCUUGAUCGAAGCCCCGGUAAACGGCGGCCGUAACUAUAACGGUCCUAAGGUAGCGAAAUUCCUUGUCGGGUAAGUUCCGACCUGCACGAAUGGCGUAAUGAUGGCCAGGCUGUCUCCACCCGAGACUCAGUGAAAUUGAACUCGCUGUGAAGAUGCAGUGUACCCGCGGCAAGACGGAAAGACCCCGUGAACCUUUACUAUAGCUUGACACUGAACAUUGAGCCUUGAUGUGUAGGAUAGGUGGGAGGCUUUGAAGUGUGGACGCCAGUCUGCAUGGAGCCGACCUUGAAAUACCACCCUUUAAUGUUUGAUGUUCUAACGUUGACCCGUAAUCCGGGUUGCGGACAGUGUCUGGUGGGUAGUUUGACUGGGGCGGUCUCCUCCUAAAGAGUAACGGAGGAGCACGAAGGUUGGCUAAUCCUGGUCGGACAUCAGGAGGUUAGUGCAAUGGCAUAAGCCAGCUUGACUGCGAGCGUGACGGCGCGAGCAGGUGCGAAAGCAGGUCAUAGUGAUCCGGUGGUUCUGAAUGGAAGGGCCAUCGCUCAACGGAUAAAAGGUACUCCGGGGAUAACAGGCUGAUACCGCCCAAGAGUUCAUAUCGACGGCGGUGUUUGGCACCUCGAUGUCGGCUCAUCACAUCCUGGGGCUGAAGUAGGUCCCAAGGGUAUGGCUGUUCGCCAUUUAAAGUGGUACGCGAGCUGGGUUUAGAACGUCGUGAGACAGUUCGGUCCCUAUCUGCCGUGGGCGCUGGAGAACUGAGGGGGGCUGCUCCUAGUACGAGAGGACCGGAGUGGACGCAUCACUGGUGUUCGGGUUGUCAUGCCAAUGGCACUGCCCGGUAGCUAAAUGCGGAAGAGAUAAGUGCUGAAAGCAUCUAAGCACGAAACUUGCCCCGAGAUGAGUUCUCCCUGACUCCUUGAGAGUCCUGAAGGAACGUUGAAGACGACGACGUUGAUAGGCCGGGUGUGUAAGCGCAGCGAUGCGUUGAGCUAACCGGUACUAAUGAACCGUGAGGCUUAACCUU
rnacentral:rRNA from 1 species